rnacentral:rRNA from 1 species
UACGAAGGGAGCAAGCGUUGUUCGGAAUCACUGGGCGUAAAGCGCGCGUAGGCGGCUUUUCAAGUCAGAGGUGAAAUGCCAGGGCUUAACCCUGGAACUGCCUUUGAAACUGUUAAGCUGGAGUACUGGAAGGGAUGGCGGAAUUCCUAAUGUAGAGGUGAAAUUCGUAGAUAUUAGGAGGAACACCGGUGGCGAAGGCGGCCAUCUGGACAGUAACUGACGCUGAGGCGCGAAAGUGCGGGGAUCAAACAGG